UCUGGCUUAUAGCCAAGCGGUCUCGUUAGAGUCCCCAACUUAAUGCUGGUAACUAACGACGAGGGUUGCGCUCGUUGCGGGACUUAACCCAACAUCUCACAACACGAGCUGACGACAGCCAUGCAGCACCUGUCACCGGGUCUCCGAAGAGAACGCCUAAUUUCUUAGGUUAGCCCGGGAUGUCAAGGCCAGGUAAGGUUUUUCGCGUAGCAUCGAAUUAAACCACAUGCUCCACCGCUUGUGCGGGCCCCCGUCAAUUCCUUUGAGUUUUAAUCUUGCGAUCGUAAUCCCCAGGCGGGAUACUUAAUGCGUUAGCUACGUCACCGAGACGAUUAGUAUCUCGACGACUAGUAUCCAUCGUUUAGGGCGUGGACUAC
rnacentral:misc_RNA from 1 species